AGUUGGAAACGACUGCUAAUACCGCAUAAGCCCACAGGUCGGCAUCGACCAGAGGGAAAAGGAGCAAUCCGCUUUGAGAUGGCCUCGCGUCCGAUUAGCUAGUUGGUGAGGUAACGGCCCACCAAGGCAACGAUCGGUAGCCGGACUGAGAGGUUGAACGGCCACAUUGGGACUGAGACACGGCCCAGACUCCUACGGGAGGCAGCAGUGGGGAAUAUUGCACAAUGGGGGAAACCCUGAUGCAGCGACGCCGCGUGGAGGAAGAAGGUCUUCGGAUUGUAAACUCCUGUUGUUGAGGAAGAUAAUGACGGUACUCAA
rnacentral:rRNA from 1 species